ensembl:lncRNA
UGUGAGUUAGAGAUUUAGAGUGAGAGAGAUAGUAAAAGGUGGGGAGGGGGAGGGGGAGAGAGAGUUAGAGGGAGAGAGAAGGGAGUGUGAAGGGCAUGCAAUAGCAAACCCAGCCCUGGGCCAGUGAAAGAAGGGAUUAUUCAGCAUGGGCCCGGUGUGCUGGUGCUGGCUGGCUUUAGAGAUACACACCAUGCUAGGCUCAGAGGCAGAGAGACAAGCUCAGAGGCUAACACAGUUGUGCUCAAAAUAUUCUGUUAAUUAUUGUUAUAGUUUGAGUGAUAGUGAUAGAUGGAGUGGGUUGAAGUAAUAGUAAUAUGCAGUGAUAAGGGGGGAUGUUAUAGGUGUUUACCCUUGGAUCUGAAUUUAGUUCAUCUUUAUAAAACGGCAAGAUGUCUCUCAAUCACAUUGCACUUCCAAAUAAGAUGUUUGACUUGUCUUACUUUUUCCCACUUGUGGUUGGAAAAACAUUGAAGAAUGGUGGUGUCAAAUAUAUGCAUUUAUUUGUUCUUGCUUUAUUCAGUAUGAUUUGUGUUGCAGCUCUUGACCAAAAGACAGAUACCAAGAACAUAAAGACGAUUUAACAUUAGCUCUUGACCAAAAGACAGAUACCAAGAACAUAAAGACGAUUUAACAUUAGAAAAUGUUGCCCUCUUCAUUACAGCAGAGGAGCUUCACCACGUUGUCUUUUUGAUGCUCCAGACGCCUCCACCGAGUCCCGUUAUCUUCCCACCUAAAGCGGUAUUCUUCACCCAAGAUAUUCGGCAGAUUUUCUUCAGCUGGUUCAACCAGCUACGGACACAAAAGACUGGUUAAACUCCAAAGGUAACUGUAAAUAAUGACCACAUAAGUGUUAUUGUUGAAAUGGAAGCUUGAAAGCUAACCAGUUAACUAUAUAAUUCAAUUAACAUCACACAUUAUUAUUAAUUUGUCUCAACAUGUCUGUCUUUCUUGGGCAUCUCCCCAACUUGUGUUUAAUAUGAAAUGAGUCAACAUCCAUGUAAUUAAUGCUGAUAUGGGAACGCCAACCUGCUGAAAAUGAUUUGCAUUUGUGGUUAAUUGUAUGAUUAAUAAAAAUGGACGUUACAAAAAAUAACGUGAAACAGCUAGGACUUUUUAAUAUGAGGUGAUCCCGUCUUGGGAUCUAGCCCACACUUGUCCAAAACGAAAACACCCAACUGGCCACACUCACACUGGCAGAUUUGAGCACGGUUAGGUGUGAAAACGGCCACGGCCACGGCCAGAUGGCCUAGUGUGAGUGCACCUCAGAGUGUGAAAGUAGUACAUUUCCUGUAGAGGUACAGACAGAUACUGAAACCGGUUGCCCAAAGGUAUGAUGCACAAAGAGUACAGCAUAGCAAAACUAUAAGGAGAUUAUGAAAGUUGCUUUUAAAAUACAGGCUCCCAAGUCACCACUGUUACCAAUCUGUUGUAUCAAGAGUUUUUGUUGAAAAAUCAGAUUACACCACUCUUGUAGUUGCUAGAAAUUGAGAGGGC